rnacentral:lncRNA from 11 species
GGCACACUAAGAGCAAAAAAUACAAUGGAAGUUGGGAGUCUGGGUGGCUUUUGGCUUCACCAGUAUCUGCAGAAUCAAGGCAGAGUAAAUGUGUAUCAAAAAAUCAGCCACAGUAGGAGGUAUCCGUCUCCCAGGUAAUAGCUAAAUGACAAGCAGAUGAGCCGCCAUCGUAUUGAUUUAAGCAUUUCGUUCCAGCCAGUCACAAUUAACUUUGAUUUGUUUUUACUUUCCUCUUACAGGUUUGCAUUUAAAGCACUCUGAGAGCACUAAUUGUAUAAAAAUUUUACUAAACUGCACAUUCUCUUUCUGGAGAGGUAAUGAAUGAAUGAACAUAAAAGCUGGAAUUUGUCUGAGAUUUGAAGCCGGAGAUUUUCCCAGCACUUUUUUCUCUGUGUGAAAUUGGAACUGAAGAUGUUCUGUGUGACAACCCGCCAUCAUCCAUAGCCACCAUGCCCAAUGGUUGAGGAUACAGGAGAUCAAAGAAUCAAACAUCAGGAAAAUAAUAGACUGGAAAAUUGUUCCAGUUGGAGCUGUGACUGUUUGCUGGCAAAGUAUAAGGUCUAUCCUGGAUUAUUCCUGUGUUAACGCCCAGGCGGAGAAAUUAAAUGAAAAUGAGUGGGACAAAAAGAGAGAAAUGGCUGCCAAGACCAAAUUCUCACAAAGGCAGCCCUAGAAAGGUCUCCUUCGAGUCUGCACGUUUUUGUUGGCCAGGGCAGGACAUUAUAAUGUACAGUCCCCGAAGGAUCAGUCAGAAUGGAUGCCUAUUGUGGGAUGCUGUAACAGACAUGAGUGAUGUUUUGGCAGGCAAUUGCAAUAACUCUAGCUAUCUGAUUGCAUUACCGUCUACUAGGCAAAGGGUGUCUCCUGGGAAGAAGCAUUACUUAAGAGCUGGUCAUGGCAAUAAUAACAAGAAGAAAAGGGAAAUGGUUCAACACAUUGUUCAGCGAUCUUUUAGAUUUCACUGA